UCCCAUGAGAUUGGCCACGUCCGUAACUCCACCAGACACUACCUAUUUCAGGUCCUACUGAGAUUUCUAGACCAACCUUCACCAAACUUGGCACACCUGCUGCUGGGCUUUGACAUUAGGAAGUCUGUAAACAGAACUCUGCUCCAGGACCCAGGUAUCCUAGGGUCACCUAAGACCUGUCUACAUGCGGUCCUGUCCCUGUUAGAGAGGGGGGUGGGGACACACUCAGGCCCCAUCUGCCUGAUGGACAUUCCAUGACUGUCUGAGCUGGCCUAUACAAACACAUCUACCUUCUGGCUGCCAACAAGAAGACGUCGACGCCCACUUUACGAUAUUUACGUACAACCAGGGACUUCCUGUUCAGGCAGCUCCAGCAUUUACCUUUCACUCAGCAGUUUUAUAAACGCCCUGUAAUGAUUUCCCAAUCCUGGUUGCUGAAGCUGAUAGCCAUUGAACUGCGACUGACUGCACUGAACCGUCAAAGGUCACACACACUGAGGUUAAUGAAGGCCCUGCUGGAUGAUGGGUCAGAAGGUCAAACAGUGUUACAGCCAGCAUUAGGAGACGAAGCUGACCUGACGUAUGACAGAUUUACAGAACAGAGUCUACAGACAUCUUAUCUGUCUCAGACAGCAAGCCUGUUCAGGAGCCGCCAAGUGAGCAGGAAGUUACUAGGAUUUCUGUAUGAAGUUGACUUUUCACAGCGUUACCCUCCUACAAUGAAGUUGGAGUUUUUCAAAUUGUCGAUGAUUGAAUUAUAGCCAUUAAAAGUGUAGAAACUUGGACCGAACAGGACAUUUUGUAUUGUGAUGUCAAACGACUUCACUGCCUACUGAUGAACGAACUUAACAACUACCAGGGCAACAUCACAGUGACUCAGAGACCUCGAGUUUUAGAGGAAGUGGAGAAUAUUCUGCAUCACAUGGUGCUACGUAACAGAAUCCGACAGGAACUGUCCACCAAACAGCAGGCUCUGGAGGCGUGGCGUCAUGUGACAGAGGUUCUGUUGACUGCAUGUCCUGAGGACCUA